GACGAACGCUGGCGGCGUGCUUAACACAUGCAAGUCGAACGGAAAGGCCAUGCAUCUGGGGGGUGCUCGAGCGGCGAACGGGUGAGUAACACGUGAGUAACCUGCCCUUGACUUUGGGAGAACUUCAGGAAACUGGGGCUACUACCGGAUCGGAGCUCCUGCUGAAUGGUGGGGGUUGGAAAGUUUCGGCGGUUGGGGAUGGUCUCGCGGCUGAUCAGCGUGCUGGUGGGGUAGUGGCUCACCAAGGCGUUGACUGGUAGCCGGCCUGUGAGGGUGACCGGCCACCUUGGGCCUGCGAUACGGCCCAGACUCCUACGGUGGGCAGCAGGGGGGAAUAUUGCACAAUGGGCCGACGCCUAAGGCAGCAACGCCGCGUGCGGGAUGACCGCCUUCGGGUGGUAAACCGCUUUCGCCUGUGACGAAGCGUGAGUGACGUUAAUGGGUAAAGAAGCACCGGCUAACUACGUG
rnacentral:rRNA from 1 species